rnacentral:rRNA from 1 species
AACAACAAGGGUGAAAUCUGUACUUAAGUUAAAUUUCUUGUUUAAAGCAUCUUUUAGGUAGUUAAACGACUAGGAUUAGAUACCCUAUUAGUCUAUCCUUAAUUAACCUGGGUAGUAAUAUUAAAACCUAAAGAAUUUGGCGGUUUCUAAACUUACUAGAGGAACCUGUCCCGUAAACGACAAUCCACGAAAAAAUCAACCCAAACUUGUUAUUCAGCUUAUAUACCGUCGUUUAGGGAAUUAAACAAAUAGAUCUCCUUAAGAGCUUAGGCUAAUAAAUCAGAUCAAGGUGUAGCUUAUGUUUGGGUGAGGAUGGGUUACAAUGAAAAUUCAUACGGAACCUUUAUAUUACUGCAAAGGAGAAGGUGGAUUUAGAAGUAAGACCUAACACACUGAAGAAAGCCCUGAGAAAUGUACAC